AUGGGCAGCCUCAAAUCACAACAACCACGUCCCUCCCUGCUCCCUCCCUUGUCCGUCGCCGCACCCGUUCUUCUCCUGCUCUCUCUCUCUCUCUUCUGCGAUGUUCCUCCUUCCUAUUGGCGCGCCUCGCCCCGUCUUCCACCUUCACGUUCAUCUUCAACACCCCCUCCUCGGCUAGAUGGCACCUCUGGGGGUGAAGGAGCAGGGGAGGGCCAAGAGGCCAGCGGUGUGGGGUGGAGCAGCGAGGCCGGCAGCCCAGACGGCGGACGCCUCAUGGGAUGGAGGAGAGGCCAGCGAUAG
rnacentral:rRNA from 1 species